GAUGAACGCUGGCGGCGUGCCUAAUACAUGCAAGUCGAGCGAACAGACGAGGAGCUUGCUCCUCUGACGUUAGCGGCGGACGGGUGAGUAACACGUGGAUAACCUACCUAUAAGACUGGGAUAACUUCGGGAAACCGGAGCUAAUACCGGAUAAUAUAUUGAACCGCAUGGUUCAAUAGUGAAAGACGGUUUUGCUGUCACUUAUAGCUGGAUCCGCGCCGCAUUAGCUAGUUGGUAAGGUCACGGCUUACCAAGGCAACGAUGCGUAGCCGACCUGAGAGGGUGAUCGGCCACACUGGAACUGAGACACGGUCCAGACUCCUACGGUAGGCAGCAGUAGGGAAUCGUCCGCAAUGGGCGAAAGCCUGACGGAGCAACGCCGCGUGAGUGAUGAAGGUCUUCGGAUCGUAAAACUCUGUUAUUAGGGAAGAACAAAUGUGUAAGUAACUAUGCACGUCUUGACGGUACCUAAUCAGAAAGCCACGGCUAACUACGUG
rnacentral:rRNA from 1 species